rnacentral:rRNA from 1 species
AUUGAACGCUGGCGGCAGGCCUAACACAUGCAAGUCGAACGAGUGGCGGACGGGUGAGUAAUGUCUGGGAAACUGCCUGAUGGAGGGGGAUAACUACUGGAAACGGUAGCUAAUACCGCAUACAAUCAGAUGUGCCCAUAGGGCAUUCGGUUGGUGGGGUGGGAAAGGCUAACCAAGGCGACGAACCCUAGCUGGGCUGAGAGGAUGACCGGCACCACUGGGACUGAGACACGGUCCAGACUCCUACGGGAGGCAGCAGUAGGGAAUAUUGGGCAAUGGGCGAAAGCCUGAUGCAGCCAUGCCGCGUGUAUGAAGAAGGCCUUCGGGUUGUAAAGUACUUUCGGCGGAGAAGCGUUACCCACAGAAGAAGCAACGGCUAACUCCGUGCCAGCAGCCGCGGUAAUAC